AUUGAACGCUGGCGGCAUGCCUUACACAUGCAAGUCGAACGGUAACGGGCCUUCGGGUGCCGACGAGUGGCGAACGGGUGAGUAAUACAUCGGAACGUGCCCGAUCGUGGGGGAUAACGAGGCGAAAGCUUUGCUAAUACCGCAUACGAUCUACGGAUGAAAGCAGGGGACCGCAAGGCCUUGCGCGGACGGAGCGGCCGAUGGCAGAUUAGGUAGUUGGUGGGAUAAAAGCUUACCAAGCCGACGAUCUGUAGCUGGUCUGAGAGGAUGAUCAGCCACACUGGGAGUGAGACACGGCCCAGAAUCCUACGGGAGGCAGCAGUGGGGAAUUUUGGACAAUGGGCGCAAGCCUGAUCCAGCCAUGCCGCGUGCAGGAUGAAGGCCUUCGGGUUGUAAACUGCUUUUGUACGGAACGAAAAGCCUUCUUUUAAUACAGGAGGGUCAUGACGGUACCGUAAGAAUAAGCACCGGCUAACUACGUG
rnacentral:rRNA from 1 species